GAGCUUGCUCUCGGGUGACGAGUGGCGGACGGGUGAGUAAUGUCUGGGAAACUGCCUGAUGGAGGGGGAUAACUACUGGAAACGGUAGCUAAUACCGCAUAACGUCGCAAGACCAAAGAGGGGGACCUUCGGGCCUCUUGCCAUCAGAUGUGCCCAGAUGGGAUUAGCUAGUAGGUGGGGUAACGGCUCACCUAGGCGACGAUCCCUAGCUGGUCUGAGAGGAUGACCAGCCACACUGGAACUGAGACACGGUCCAGACUCCUACGGGAGGCAGCAGUGGGGAAUAUUGCACAAUGGGCGCAAGCCCGAUGCAGCCAUGCCGCGUGUAUGAAGAAGGCCUUCGGGUUGUAAAGUACUUUCAGCGGGGAGGAAGGUGUUGUGGUUAAUAACCGCAGCAAUUGACGUUACCCGCAGAAGAAGCACCGGCUAACUCCGUGCCAGCAGCCGCGGUAAUACGGAGGGUGCAAGCGUUAAUCGGAAUUACUGGGCGUAAAGCGCACGCAGGCGGUCUGUCAAGUCGGAUGU
rnacentral:rRNA from 1 species